rnacentral:misc_RNA from 1 species
CAAUCAAGUAGAAGUAUCUAGGAAGAGUGAGAGGAAGUGAGGUGUGUGAGAGAAUGCUAUGAGCGUUUGUAAGAUUGUUGUGAGACAUAAUCAAGUGUAUGUGUUAAGAGUGAGGAGUGUUCAUAAUUUAAUGUUGCACUAAAGUGUGAGGUUGAUUAUAAAGUUAUUUUUAAUGCUUCAUAAUAAAAAUUUUCUUCAAUCGAGUCCAUCAUUUUUCACUUUCUCUUUUUGUCAAUUAUAGUGAUUCCUUUUCUUCCCCUUCAGCUGCUUGCUCGAUUAGUUCGUGAGUAUGGACCAGAGGUUGACUAAGGCAGCUCGAGAAGGAAAUAUUCCUGAAUUGUAUAAGCUAAUCCAGGAGGAUACAGAUGUCUUGGAAAACAUCGAUAAGAAAGCUUUUGUUGAUACUCCGUUGCACAUAGCUGCUUCACAAGGGCAUAUUGAAUUCGCGAUGGAGAUAAUGAACCUGAAGCCAUCUUUUUCUAAGAAGUUAAACAAAGAUGGUCUUAGCCCCAUGCACCUUGCUGUGCAAAAUGACCACAUGCUAGUGGUGAUGUGGCUCAUAGAUGUUG